UUAUAUUUUUUAUAUAAUAUCCAAUAUCGGUGAUACAUUUUAUUAUAAAAUUGUAAAAUAUAAAAUUAAAUACAAAUAUAACAUUUACAUUUAUAAAUAUGAUUAUAUUUUUAAAUAUAUCAUUAAAUACAAACACAAAUUAAAUAUUUGCACUACGCGUGGAUCAUGGUCUAGUUCACACUUAUUAGAGUCUUCAUGUGUACAUAUUGUGUACCGCGAUUGCGCAUUCUUUUUUUCGAAUCUGUAAAUAUCAAAUAAAUGAAAUUUUUUUUUACAAAAUAAAGAUCUUAUGUUUGAGCUAUCUUGACAAAAAGAAAAUAAAAAAUAAAAUGGAUGAACAAAUUAAACCUACAACCAAAAGCUUAUCUCAGCCACAUGGUCAUAAGAGACCUGAAAUGUUUCUUGUGCCUCCUUGAUGAGAUAAUGUUCCAAAGGUGGAAGAUAACCGCAUCCAUUGCGCAUCUUAUUCGUUACGCGUAUUUCCAACUUUUUGUAGC
rnacentral:lncRNA from 1 species